rnacentral:lncRNA from 1 species
GAUCGGGAGCUGCAAUGAGGCUGGGGCUCGGGCGCGUUGUACGGGAGGAUGCACUCCGCCUCUUCCUCAUGGUGCGGCGGACGGCGGCUCUCCCUCUUCUCUGUCGUCGGCGGCCAGCUCAUCCCACUGCCUCGUGCUCGCCGCUGACCAUGGAUCCGCCAUGGACGGAGGGUGUCAAGAGGGGAAGAGGGGAAGGAUGUCUUCGCCUUCGCAAGCAGGGCUGGCGGACGAGCACACACGCAUGUCCUCUUCCUGAUGGAAGGCAACUCGAGCAUGGGAGUAGUGGACAAGGCUGGGCACCAUGGGUUGGCCGAGGUGCUUCAUGGUGAGGAAGAGGUGCGCCAUCUUCCAAUCGGUCCACAGUUUGAAGCAGCCAGGCAGGGAGGACCAAGAAAACAUAGGUACUCUUCUACCCCUUUGUACGUCUUGUCUGAUGCAUGUUUGUGUGUGUGUGUGUGUGUGUGUGAGGGAGGGAGGGAGGGAGGGAGGGAGGGAGGGAGAGAGAGAGAGAGAGCUGAUCACCGAUGGAAUGGAAGGUAACUUUUAUUUCAACUUUGAUUUUACUAGGCAUCCAGAUUCUUAUUUUGUUCUUCUGAGAUUUCUUGUUGGGUGUAUGAACAUUCAUGCACACACUGUAAAUUAUUGUGCUUGUUCCAAAUUAGAAAUACUGAGAAGAAAUAAAAUUAUUAGUUAGCAAAUAUACAUAGCUCAUUCACAUUUUAGUUCCCUAAUAUGUGGGUUUUCUACACAUGAUGUGUGCAGAUCUAUGAAAGAAGAGAUGAAGAACAAUUUUAGCUGAAGAGUUGAAGAAGACCCAGGUGAAUUUUAUCCCUCUUACGAAUCCAAUCAAGUUUGCGCUUGCAUUUUGGUGAUAUGGUUUGUGUUGGACCAUGUUCUCUAGCUAUCAAUGGACUUUCCAAAGUAGUUUUGCUGAUUUGUCGUUAUGGAUUUCAUGUUAUGCAGACUAUUUUGCUUAGAGAUGGGCAUGCGCGACUCCUUAUUUGUUUGCAGCGUCGUAUAGGAUAAUAUGAGAUUGAUAUUUUGCUACUUGGGAACACAUUUUGCGAUAACAUCAGCUCUGUUCUAACUAGCCAUUGUGAUAUCCUCUUUUUUUGGGAGGGGGGGUGCAAAUUCCUUGCCUUUCUAUUCUGCUAUUUGCAAUCAAUGUACAAUGCUCUAUAUUUUUACUUGAUGAUGUACAGUUGUUGGUACUUUUUGUUGAGAACAGGCUCUUGUGAGUACAAGUAAAAAAUUUAUUAAAUGUGAUCGUUGUAUGGACUGUGCACCUGUUCCAUGUGACAAGUAAAAUUUGUUGUGUUUCCCCGUCGGUUAAGCUUUUCACUCGAUUACUGUAUGGGUGAUUCAAUCUUAUUUGCUUGUUAUAUAGUUUGGGUAUUCAUGGUUCGUAGGAGGGGGUUUAUAAGGGAAUCAAGAGCUUUUUUUAACAGCAUGUACAAAAGGUUCAGCAAAGUGGGACUCAAGUCUGCAACCACAAUAGAAGUAAGGCCAUGGAGCAAGAGUUCUGUUGGGCAUCCUUUGCAUUUAUCUUGCCAGGUUCCAUGCUUCAUAGCAUGUGUGUAAGCAUAUCAAUACACACAUACACUGCGGUUCGUAACGCCAUUUAAUAGGGGAUGCAUUAGGGUACUUUAUUUCCAUUAUAAACUGAUAAUAAUUAUGAAUUUAGUAAGGUAACAAUAAUAUGGGUUAUAGCAGAAUAUUAGAUGUGGUAUGUGUUGGGGAACGUUGCAGAAAAUUAAAUUUUUUCCUACGGUUUCACCAAGAUCCAUCAACGAGUCAAGGGAGUGAGUUUGCAUCUACAUACCACUUGUAGAUCGCGUGCGGAAGCGUUCAAUGGAACGGGGUUGAUGGAGUCGUACUCGCCGUGAUUCAGAUCACCGAUGACCUAGUGUCGAACGGACAGCACCUCCGCGUUCAACACACGUACGGAGCGGAUGACGUCUCCUCCUUAUUGAUCCAGCAAGGGGGAAGGAGAGGUUGAUGAAGAUCCAGCAGCACGACGGCGUGGUGGUGGAUGCAGCAGAACUCCGGCAAGGCUUCGCUAAGCAACUACGGGAGGAGGAGGAGGUGUUGCACGGAGGAGGGAGGCGCCAGGGCUUAUGGGUGCGGCUGCCUCUCCCUCCCCUCCCUUUAUAUGGGGGUAAGGGAGAGGGGGGGGGGGGCGCAGCCUUGCCCCUUCCUCCAAGGAAGGGGUGCGGCCAAGAGGGGGGGAGGAGUCCAUCCUCCCCAAGGCACCUCGGAGGUGCCUUCCCCUCUUUGGACUCUCCCCUCUCCAAGUCUUCUAGGCGCAUGGGCCUCUUGGGGCUGGUGCCCUUGGCCCAUAUGGGCCAAGGCGCACCCCCUACAGCCCAUGUGCCCCCCCGGAGCAGGUGGACCCCCCGGUGGACCCCCAGACCCCUUUCGGCACUCCCGAUACAAUACCGAUAAAGUGUGAAACUUUUCCGGUGACCAAAAUAAGACUUCCUAUAUAUAAAUCUUUACCUCCGGACCAUUCCGGAACUCCUCGUGACGUCCGGGAUCUCAUCCGGGACUCCAAACAACAUUCGGUUUGCUGCAUACUCAUAUUCAUACAACCCUAGCGUCACCGAACCUUAAGUGUGUAGACCCUACGGGUUCGGGAGACACGUAGUCAUGACCGAGACGGCUCUCGGGCAAUAACCAACAACAGGAUCUGGAUACCCAUGUUGGCUCCCACAUGCUCCUCGAUGAUGUCAUCGGAUGAACCACGAUGUCGAGGAUUCGAUCAAACCCCGUAUACAAUUCCCUUUGUCAAUCGGUACGUUACAAGCCCGAGACUCGAUCGUCGGUAUCCCAAUACCUCGUUCAGUCUCGUUACCGGCAAGUCACUUUACUCGUACCGUAAUGCAUGAUCCCGUGACUAACGACUUAGCCACUUUGAGCUCAUUAUGAUGAUGCAUUACCGAGUGGGCCCAGAGAUACCUCUCCGUCAUACGGAGUGACAAAUCCCAGUCUCGAUCCGUGUCAACCCAACAGACACUUUCGGAGAUACCUGUAGUGCACCUUUAUAAUCACCCAGUUACGUUGUGACGUUUGGUACACCCAAAGCACUCUUACGGUAUCCGGGAGUUACACGAUCUCAUGGUCGAAGGAAGAGAUAGUUGACAUUGAAAAAGCUCUAGCAAAACGAACUACACGAUCUUGUGCUAUGCUUAAGAUUGGGUCUUGUCCAUCACAUCAUUCUCCUAAUGAUGUGAUCCCAUUGUCAAUGACAUCUAAUGUCCAUAGUCAGGAAACCAUGACUAUCUGUUGACCAACGAGCUAGUCAACUAGAGGCUCACUAGGGACAUGUUAUGGUCUAUGUAUUCACACGUGUAUUACGAUUUCCGGAUAAUACAAUUAUAGCAUGAAUAAAAGACAAUUAUCAUGAACAAGGAAAUAUAAUAAUAAUGCUUUUAUUAUUGCCUCUAGGGCAUAUUUCCAACAGUCUCCCACUUGCACUAGAGUCAAUAAUCUAGUUACAUUGUGAUGAAUCGAACACCCAUAGAGUUCUGGUGCUGAUCAUGUUUUGCUCGCAAGAGAGGUUUAGUCAACGAAUCUGCGACAUUCAGAUCCGUAUGUACUUUGCAAAUUUCUAUGUCUCCAUCUUGAACAUUUUCACGGAUGGAGUUGAAACGACAAUUGAUGUGCCUGGUCUUCUUGUGAAACCUGGGCUCCUUGGCAAGGGCAAUAGCUCCAGUGUUGUCACAGAAGAGUUUGAUUGGCCCCGACGCAUUGGGUAUGACUCCUAGGUCGGUGAUGAACUCCUUCACCCAAAUCGCUUCAUGCGCUGCCUCCGAGGCUGCCAUGUACUCCGCUUCACACGUAGAUCCCGCCACGACGCUCUGCUUGCAGCUGCACCAGCUUACUGCUCCACCAUUCAACAUAUACACGUAUCCGGUUUGUGACUUAGAGUCAUCCGGAUCUGAGUCGAAGCUAGCGUCGACGUAACCCUUUAUGACGAGCUCUUCGUCUCCUCCAUAAACGAGAAACAUGUCCUUUGUCCUUUUCAGGUACUUCAGGAUAUUCUUGACCGCUGUCCAGUGUUCCUUGCCGGGAUUACUUUGGUAUCUAGCUACCAAACUUACGGCAAGGUUUACAUCAGGUCUGGUACACAGCAUGGCAUACAUAAUAGAUCCUAUGGCUGAAGCAUAGGGGAUGACACUCAUCUCUUCUUUAUCUUUUGCCAUGGUCGGUGACUGAGCCGAGCUCAAUCUCACACCUUGUAACAUGGGCAAGAACCCUUUCUUGGACUGAUCCAUUUUGAACCUUUUCAAAAUCUUAUCAAGGUAUGUGCUUUGUGAAAGACCUAUGAGGCGUCUCGAUCUAUCUCUAUAGAUCUUGAUGCCUAAUAUAUAAGCAGCUUCUCCAAGGUCCUUCAUUGAAAAACAUUUGUUCAAGUAGGCCUUAAUGCUGUCCAGAAAUUCUAUAUUAUUUCCCAUCAAUAGUAUGUCAUCUACAUAUAAUAUGAGAAAUGCUACAGAGCUCCCACUCACUUUCUUGUAAACGCAGGCUUCUCCAUAAGUCUGCAUAAACCCAAACGCUUUCAUCAUCUCAUCAAAGCGAAUAUUCCAACUCCGAGAUGCUUGCACCAGCCCAUAAAUGGAUCGCUGGAGCUUGCAUACUUUGUUAGCGUUCUUAGGAUCGACAAAACCUUCCGGCUGCAUCAUAUACAGUUCUUCCUUAAGAUGCCCGUUAAGGAAUGCUGUUUUGACGUCCAUCUGCCAUAUCUCAUAAUCAUAGUAUGCGGCAAUUGCUAACAUGAUUCGGACGGACUUUAGCUUCGCUACGGGAGAGAAUGUCUUGUCGUAGUCAAUCCCUUCAACUUGUCGAUAACCCUUAGCGACAAGUCGAGCUUUAUAGAUGGUAACAUUUCCAUCCGCGUCCGUCUUCUUCUUAAAGAUCCAUUUGUUUUCUAUCGCUCGCCGAUCAUCGGGCAAGUCUGUCAAAGUCCAUACUUUGUUUUCAUACAUGGAUUCUAUCUCGGACUUCAUGGCUUCAAGCCAUUUGUUGGAAUCUGGUCCCGUCAUUGCUUCUUCAUAGUUCGAAGGUUCACUGUUGUCUAACAACAUGAUUUCCAGGACGGGGUUGCCGUACCACUCCGGUGCGGAACGUGUCCUGGUGGACCUACGAAGUUCAGUAGCAACUUGAUCCGAAGUACCUUGAUCAUCAUCAUUGGUUUCCUCUUCAGUUGGUGUGGGCAUCACAGGAACAUUUUCCUGAGCUGCACCACUAUCCUGUUCGAGAGGUAGCACUUCAUCGAGUUCUACUUUCCUUCCACUUACUUCUUUCGAGAGAAACUCUUUUUCCAGAAAGCAUCCGUUCUUGGCAACAAAGAUCUUGCCCUCGGAUCUUAAGUAGAAGGUAUACCCGACAGUUUCCUUAGGGUAUCCUAUGAAGACGCAUUUUUCCGACUUGGGUUCGAGCUUUUCAGGUUGAAGUUUCUUGACAUAAGCAUUGCAUCCCCAAACUUUUAGAAAUGACAGCUUAGGUUUCUUCCCAAACCAUAAUUCAUACGGUGUCGUCUCAACGGAUUUAGACGGUACCCUAUUUAAAGUGAAUGUAGCUGUCUCUAGAGCGUAUCCCCAAAAUGAUAGCGGUAAAUCGGUAAGAGACAUCAUAGACCGCACCAUAUCCAAUAGAGUGCGAUUACGACGUUCGGACACACCGUUUCGCUGAGGUGUUCCAGGCGGCGUGAGUUGUGAAACGAUUCCACAUUUCCUUAAGUGUGUGCCAAAUUCAUGACUUAAAUAUUCUCCUCCACGAUCUGAUCGUAGGAACUUUAUUUUUCCAUUACGUUGAUUCUCUACUUCAUUCUGAAACUCCUUGAACUUUUCAAAGGUCUCAGACUUGUGUUUCAUUAAGUAGACAUACCCACAUCUACUCAAGUCAUCAGUGAGAGUGAGAACAUAACGAUAUCCUCCGCGAGCCUCAACGCUCAUUGGACCGCACACAUCGGUAUGUAUGAUUUCCAACAAGUUGGUUGCUCACUCCAUUGUUCCGGAGAACGGAGUCUUGGUCAUUUUGCCCAUGAGGCAUGGUUUGCAUGUGUCAAACGAUUCAUAAUCAAGAGACUCCAAAAGUCCAUCAGCAUGGAGCUUCUUCAUGCGGUUGACACCAAUGUGACCAAGGCGGCAGUGCCACAAGUAUGUGGGACUAUCGUUAUCAACUUUACAUCUUGUGGCAUCCACACUAUGAACAUGUGUAAUAUUACGCUCGAGAUUCAUUAAGAACAAGCCAUUGACCAUCGGAGCAUGGCCAUAAAACAUAUCUCUCAUAUAAAUCGAACAACCAUUAUUCUCAGACUUAAAUGAGUAGCCAUCUCGUAUUAAACGAGAUCCAGAUACAAUGUUCAUGCUCAAACUUGGCACUAAAUAACAAUUAUUAAGGUUCAUAACUAAUCCCGUAGGUAAAUGUAGAGGCAGCGUGCCGACGGCGAUCACAUCGACUCUGGAACCAUUCCCGAUGCGCAUCGUCACCUCGUCCUUCGCCAGUCUCCGCUUAUUCCGCAGCUCCUGAUGUGAGUUACAAAUAUGAGCAACGACACCGAUAUCAAAUACCCAGGAGUUACUACGAGUACUGGUAAGGUACACAUCAAUUACAUGUAUAUCAAAUAUACCUUUGUUGUUGCCGACCUUCUUAUCUGCUAAGUAUUUGGGGCAGUUCCGCUUCCAGUGACCCUUCCCCUUGCAAUAAAAGCACUCAGUCUCAGGCUUGGGUCCAUUCUUUGACUUCUUCCCGGCAACUGGCUUACCGGGCGCGGCAACAUCCUUGCCGUCCUUCUUGAAGUUCUUCUUGCCCUUGCCCUUCUUGAACUUAGUGGUCUUAUUGACCAUCAACACUUGAUGUUCUUUCUUGAUUUCAGCCUCUGCUGACUUCAGCAUAGAGAACAAUUCAGGAAUGGUCUUUUCCAUCCCCUGCAUGUUGUAGUUCAUCACAAAGCUCUUGUAGCUUGGUGGGAGCGACUGGAGGAUUCUGUCAAUGAUCGCCUCAUCUGGGAGGUUAAUGUUCAGUUGGGUCAUACGUUUGUGCAACCCAGACAUCUUUAGGAUGUGCUCACUGACAGAACUGUUUUCCUCCAUCUUACAACUAUAGAACUUGUCGGAGAUGUCAUAUCUCUCGACCCGGGCGUGAGCUUGAAAAACCAGUUUCAGCUCCUCGAACAUCUCAUAUGCUCCGUGAUGCUCAAAACGCUUUUGGAGCCCCGGUUCUAAGCUGUAAAGCAUGCCGCACUGAACGAGGGAGUAAUCAUCAGCACGUGCCUGCCAAACGUUCAAAUCGUCUUGCAGUGCUGGGAGAACAGGUGGGUCACCUAACGGUCCUUCUAGGACAUAUUGUUUCCUGGCAGCUAUGAGGAUGAUCCUCAGGUUCCGGACCCAGUCCGUAUAGUUUCUGCCAUCAUCUUUCAGCUUGGUUUUCUCUAGGAACGUGUUGAAGUUCAUGUUGACAUGAGCGUUGGCCAUUUGAUCUACAAGACAUAUUUGCAAAGGUUUUAGACUAAGUUCAUGAUAAUUAAGUUCUAAUCAAAUUAUGAACUCCCACUCAGAUUAGACAUCCCUCUAGUCAUCUCAGUGUUACACGAUCCGAGUCGACUAGCCCGUGUCCGAUCAUCACGUGAGACGGACUAGUCAUCGUCGGUGAACAUCUUCAUGUUGAUCGUAUCUUCCAUACGACUCGUGUUCGACCUUUCGGUCUCCGUGUUCCGAGGCCAUGUCUGCACAUGCUAGGCUCGUCAAGUUAACCCUAAGUGUUUUUGCUGUGUAAAACUGUCUUACACUCGUUGUAUGUGAACGUAAGGAUCCAUCACACCCGAUCAUCACGUGGUGCUUAGAAGUGACGAACUUUAGCAACGGUGCACAGUUAGGGGAGAACACUUCUUGAAAUUUUGUAAGGGAUCAUCUUAUUUACUACCGUCGUCCUAUGUAAACAAGAUGCAUAAACAUAAUAAACAUCACAUGCAAUUAUAUAGUUGUGACAUGAUAUGGCCAAUAUCAUAUAGCUCCAUUGAUCUCCAUCUUCGGGGCUCCAUGAUCUUGUCACUGGCUUGACACCAUGAUCUCCAUCAUCAUGAUCUCCAUCAUCGUGUCUUCAUGAAGUUGUCACGCCAACGACUACUUCUACUUCUAUGGCUAACGUGUUUAGCAACAAAGUAAAGUAAGUUACAUGGCGUUCUUCAAUGACACGCAGGUCAUACAAAAAAUAAAGACAACUCCUAUGGCUAAUGCCGGUUGUCAUACUCAUCAACAUGCAAGUUGUGAAUCCUAUUACAAGAACAUGAUCUCAUACAUCACAAUUCAUCAUUCAUCACAACUUCUGGCCAUAUCACAUCACAUGAUCAAUCGCUGCAAAAACAAGUUAGACGUCCUCUAAUUGUUGUUGCAUCUUUUACGUGGCUGCAAUUGGGUUCUAGCAAGAACGUUUUCUUACCUACGAAUAAUCACAACGUGAUUUUGUCAACUUCUAUUUACCCUUCAUAAGGGCCCUUUUCAUCGAAUCCGCUCCAACUAAAGUGGGAGAGACAGACACCCGCCAGCCACCUUAUGCAACUAGUGCAUGUCAGUCGGUGGAACCGGUCUCACGUAAGCAUACGUGUAAGGUUGGUUCGGGCCGCUUCAUCCCACAAUACCGUUGAAGCAAGAAAAGACUAGUAGAGGCAAGUAAGUUGACAAGAUCCACGCCCACAACAAAUUGUGUUCUACUCGUGCAAAGAGAACUACGCAUAGACCUAGCUCAUGAUGCCACUGUUGGGGAACGUUGCAGAAAAUUAAAUUUUUUCCUACGGUUUCACCAAGAUCCAUCUAGAGUUCAUCUAGCAACGAGUCAAGGGAGUGAGUUUGCAUCUACGUACCACUUGUAGAUCGCGUGCGGAAGCGUUCAAUGGAACGGGGUUGAUGGAGUCGUACUCGCCGUGAUUCAGAUCACCGAUGACCUAGUGUCGAACGGACAACACCUCCGCGUUCAACACACGUACGGAGCGGAUGACGUCUCCUCCUUCUUGAUCCAGCAAGGGGGAAGGAGAGGCUGAUGAAGAUCCAGCAGCACGACGGCGUGGUGGUGGAUGCAGCAGAACUCCGACAGGGCUUCGCUAAGCAACUACGGGAGGAGGAGGAGGUGUUGCAGGGAGGAGGGAGGCGCCAGGGCUUAUGGGUGCGGCUGCCCCUCCCUCCCCUCCCUUUAUAUAGGGGUAAGGGAGAGGGGGGAGGGGCGCAGCCUUGCCCCUUCCUCCAAGGAAGGGGUGCGGCCAAGAGGGGGGGAGGAGUCCAUCCUCCCCAAGGCACCUCGGAGGUGCCUUCCCCUCUUUGGACUCUCCCCUCUCCAAGUCUUCUAGGCGCAUGGGCCUCUUGGGGCUGGUGCCCUUGGCCCAUAUGGGCCAAGGCGCACCCCCUACAGUCCAUGUGGCCCCCCGGGGCAGGUGGACCCCCCCGGUGGACCCCCAGACCCCUUUCGGCACUCCCGGUACAAUACCGAUAAAGUGCGAAACUUUUCCGGUGACCAAAAUAAGACUUCCUAUAUAUAUAUCUUUACCUCCGGAGACCAUUCCGGAACUCCUCGUGACAUCCGGGAUCUCAUCCGGGACUCCGAACAACAUUCGGUUUGCUGCAUACUCAUAUUCAUACAACCCUAGCGUCACCGAACCUUAAGUGUGUAGACCCUACGGGUUCGGGAGACACGUAGUCAUGACCGAGACGGCUCUCGGGCAAUAACCAUUAGCGGGAUCUGGAUACCCAUGUUGCUCCCACAUGCUCCUCGAUGAUGUCAUCGGAUGAACCACGAUGUCGAGGAUUCGAUCAAACCCCGUAUACAAUUCCCUUUGUCAAUCGGUACGUUACAUGCCCGAGACUCGAUCGUCGGUAUCCCAAUACCUCGUUCAGUCUCGUUACCGGCAAGUCACUUUACUCGUACCGUAAUGCAUGAUCCCGUGACUAACCACUUAGCCACUUUGAGCUCAUUAUGAUGAUGCAUUACCGAGUGGGCCCAGAGAUACCUCUCCGUCAUACGGAGUGACAAAUCCCAGUCUCGAUCCGUGUCAACCCAACAGACACUUUCGGAGAUACCUGUAGUGCACCUUUAUAAUCACCCAGUUACGUUGUGACGUUUGGUACACCCAAAGCACUCUUACGGUAUCCGGGAGUUACACGAUCUCAUGGUCUAAGGAAGAGAUACUUGACACUGAAAAAGCUCUAGCAAAACGAACUACACGAUCUUGUGCUAUGCUUAAGAUUGGGUCUUGUCCAUCACAUCAUUCUCCUAAUGAUGUGAUCCCGUUGUCAAUGACAUCUAAUGUCCAUAGUCAGGAAACCAUGACUAUCUGUUGACCAACGAGCUAGUCAACUAGAGGCUCACUAGGGACAUGUUAUGGUCUAUGUAUUCACACGUGUAUUACGAUUUCCGGAUAAUACAAUUAUAGCAUGAAUAAAAGACAAUUAUCAUGAACAAGGAAAUAUAAUAAUAAUGCUUUUAUUAUUGCCUCUAGGGCAUAUUUCCAACAGUAUGCUUGUAUGAGUAGAAUGCAGAGUUUAUAAAUGAACUAAAAUCUGAGAACAGGAAGUGGUAGGUUUAAUUUCAGUUAGAAAAUUAGGUGUACUGCAGUAUCAUAUAUUCAGGUAAUCCCUUGCAUUUUUUUGCCAUGUUCAGGCUUUAUACAUCGUUUGUAUAUGCAUAAAGUACGCCACAUAAACUGGAGUUUGUAGUGUCAGGAGUAAGAGGGGUGCAACUAAGUAGUAGCAUGUUAGAGGAUAAGAACAACUGUUUAAUUUAACUCCAAAGAGGUCAGAUGAAAUGAAUUUUUGAUAUAUCUGAACUCUAGAGUAUAAGAUGCAUCUUUCUACUCUUCCUGAGAUCACGGUUAUCAUAACUGGAAGUUUGUUUGUGGGAAGUUUUAUCUCUUCCCUACAGUCAAAGCUCAUGUGCAAUUUGGAAAAAAAAUGCAAAUAUGCUAUCGCUGCAUUUGACAAUUCCUUUUAGGUGAAAAAACCUGGCCUUGUUUUGUUCCUUUUUGUUCUCUGUUUAUUACCGUUUAUUGCUCAGUUUGAUUGUUCCCAAAGUAGUCUUUAACAAUUAAUCAUUUGCAGGUCUCUAACCAAUAGCGGCUUACGUUUCCUGGUCAUUUUUCUUUUGGAAAUGGAAGUUGUUGCUUCCUAGGUGAGCUGAGGUGAUAACUCCCUUCCGGCGCUGGGCCUACGUGUUCAAUGCUGCCCUCAGCAUCCCCUUCUUCCAUUGGCUCAUCGGCCCGUCAGAGUUCAGAGAUCUAAUACUCCGCACUGCCUCCCGUCCAUUUUCAGAUAUAUAUAUUUAUAUAAGGUUUAUCAUCACCCCAUGGAUCAUGUGUUGUUGAUUGACCAGGUUAUUGAGGUGGAGGUCAACAGGGUGAGGCAGAGAAGUGGAGUGCUCAUAAAGAAACGAAGGUAUGUAUGAAUAUGAUGGAUGCUUCCAUUGCCAACUAAUGAAAUGCAUGUCUCAUGCUCGCGCAGCUGCUGCUUGGACUCGCCGCUGCCGCCGCCUCCAGUCGCUUCCGCCUAGGCAUCCCGUCACUAGCAAGGUAAUUUUGUUCCGGUCCCAGCUGUCCUCCUAUCCUCCGUGCUUGAUUGCUACAGGUUCUUGUUGUGUGUGUGUGCUUGCUGACUUAGUGUUGUGGGUGUCCGGGCACCCAUUGUAUUUUUUUACUGGCUUGCCGUUGCGUGCAUGAUUAUUGUGGCUGGCUUGGUGGUAGCAUCAUACAUACUUGGUCGUAGUGCUCGCUUGCUAGCUACAAGUUCUUGUUGUGUGUUUGGUUACUACUGGCUUAGUUAUGUGUAUGUGUCUGGGCACCUGUUAUGUUUUUUUGCUGGCUUGCUGCUCGCGCAUGAUUGUUGUGACUGGGCUCUGGUUGUUCGGUGUUGGGCUGUUGAUGGCAUGCGACCUGCUUCAAGAAAAGGAAAGAAAGCAAGCAUUUGUUUAUAGAACAAAUAUAUUGAAAAAAAUCCAUGGAAAGCGUGCAUAUUUAGCAAGGAAAAGGAGUCUAGAGAGCCUUAGAUUCUUGUUAUGUGUUAAUUUGCAAAAUUUCUGCAGCUAUAUAUUUGCUCAAUCCAAAAGACAUAUUGUACUCAACCUUCAGUAUAAUGCAUUUCUAAUUGUUCAUAACUCCUAAAAUUUUUGUUAUGAUUUUGCAAGAUUUCGAAAUUAUUGUAUUUCAAAAUUGUUAUACUGAUUCCUUGAUGCUUCUCUCUUUGCUUUUUUUCUUUCCUACAAGAAGAUGCCGAGUCAUGUAAUAUGUUCAAAGAGCCACGUUUUUGAACAUACACGAUGUGUACAUCUCUUUGUGGACAACAAGCCAUGUUUCUUUAAUUAUUAAAGGGCAUUAAAUUUGUUACCUUAUAUCUUUGUCAACAACAAACCAACUAAACCAUGAUUCUCUUUUCAAUGUGAACAUGGAUUCAGCGGGUCUCUGCCAUUUGGCGCAACGGGUCCAUGAGGAAAAGGCGGUCUAUUUCUAGCUUAUUUGAAAAGCGCCAACAGUGUGUGCCACAUGUAAACAGUCCAUGUUGAAAGAAUAGAAGCAGAAGUGUGGAGAUAAUGUAAUUGGUCAGUCAGGAAAUUCAGUCUCAAUGAGCUCAACUAAUGACAUGUGUGGGUUGAGCGUGAGGUCAUUUCCAAAGUAACGGAAGUAUUUUACUUUCCUUUUCAUGUCAGUGGUCGAUGGUACUUACAUGUUGUAUCAGGUUAUCAAAGGACUGCAAUCAUAUACAUUUUAUAAACAAAUAAAACACUUUUAUGAAGCAUGUAGUAGACAAAUAGUGCUACUGAUAAAUGGAUUUUUAUCUCAGAGCACAAAUGGUGUUUAGUGGGUCUAUGUCAUUUUGCGCAAUGGGAGAUUACUCAAAAAUACACAUAUG